UCUCCGUGAAGACCAGCCCCCACGUAAAAACGGGGCGUGACCCGAAAAGCCUGACGAGUAGGGACUUAA
rnacentral:ncRNA from 1 species